rnacentral:rRNA from 1 species
UACGAAGGGAGCGAGCGUUGUUCGGAUUUACUGGGCGUAAAGGGCGCGCAGGCGGUCUUGAAAGUCAGGCGUGAAAGCCCCGGGCUUAACCUGGGAAUUGCGCUUGAUACUCUGAGACUGGAGUACGGGAGAGGAGAGUGGAAUUCCCAGUGUAGAGGUGAAAUUCGUAGAUAUUGGGAAGAACACCAGUGGCGAAGGCGGCUCUCUGGACCGUAACUGACGCUGAGGCGCGAAAGCGUGGGGAGCAAACAGG